AUGGGGGAAAGGGGCGGGGCUAGUCCAGGGCCCGCCCACCGGCGCGAGGGGCGGGGCCUGCCGUACGUCGUCGCGCGUGACGAAGCCGUGUUCCCGCGGGGCGGUGGCGGCAGCGGCCUCAGGGCGGCGGUGGCGUGGAGGCAGCUGCUGGCGCCUCCGGCUCUCGGGGUUCCCUUGACCCGGCUUCUGUGGCCCCGGUUAGGUCAUGGCCGGUGGCUUCGCAGGGGGACGGACGUUGCCAUGGGUGAGCGUGACCGGCCGCGGAGCUCCGUGCCCAGAGGGGCCACGUUGGAGACGGACGACGGAGCGGGCGAGCCGCCGCUGCCCAGCCCGCGUCUCCUUCUCAGUCCGCCGUCUGUGGCUCCCCUCGGGGGUCCCUCCUCAGGUCCCUCCUCUCCGGUCCCUCUACCUGUGUCAUCCCUCAGGUCCCCCCCCCCCCCAGGUUCUCUCAGGUCUCUCCACCAUGUCCCCCCUCUGUUCCCUCCCCUCCGGUCCCCCCACCAAGUCCUCUCUCAGGUCCCCCCCUCAGUUCUCCUUCUCAGGUUCCCCUGCCAUGUCCCCCCUCCGUCCCCUCCUCUCAGGUCCCCCCCUUCAGGUCCCCCUACCUGUGUCAUCUCUCAGCCGCCCCCCCCCCAGUUCUCUCAGGUCCCCUCACCAUGUCCCCCCUCCAUUCCCUCCUCUCUCAGGUCCCCCCUCAGUUCUCCUCAGGUUCCCCCACCAUGUCCCCCCUCCGUUCCCUCCUCUCAGGUCCCCUCCUCAGGUGCCUCUGCCUGUGUCAUCCCUCAGGUCCGCCCCCAGGUUCUCCCUCUCAGGUCCCCCCCUCAGGUCCCUCUGCCUGUGUCAUCCCUCAGCACCCCCCCAUUCUCUCAGGUCCCCCCACCUUGUCCCCCCUCCGUUCCCUCCUCUCAGGUCCCCUCCUCAGGUCCCUCUGCCUGUGUUAUCCCUCGGUCCCCCCCAGUUUCAGGUCCCUCCCCUCCGGUCCCCCCACCAUGUCCUCUCUCAGGUCUUCUUCAGGUCCUCCCUCCGUUCCCUCCUCUCAGGUCCCCCCCCCCCAGGUUCCUCUACCUGUGUCAUCCCUCAGGUCCCUCCACCCAUGUAUCCCUUCAAGUCCUCUCUCAGGCCCCCCACCCAUCUCGCCCCUCUGACUUCCCUUGA
rnacentral:lncRNA from 9 species